rnacentral:misc_RNA from 1 species
AAAAUAAUCCUACCCUUUGUGAAUUUUGUUUGUUUGAAUAAUUUUUUUUUUUAAAAAUUAUUGGAGUCUUUCCCUUUAGAGUUUGCUUUUGAGUUUGUAAAAGAACUCGAAAACAUCUAAAGGGGAUGGUCAAUAAUUUUUUUUGAAAAAAGACAUUUUUUAAAAUUAAACUUUUUGUAUUCAUUUGUCUAAAAAUUAUUUUUAUAAUAUAAAAACAACUUUUGACAAUGGAUCUCUUGGUUCUCGCAACGAUGAAGAACGCAGCAAAAUGCGAUAAGUAGUGUGAAUUGCAGAAUACGUGAAUCAUCGAAUCUUUGAACGCAUAUUGCACUUUUUUAGUUUACUAAAAAAGUAUGUCUGUUUGAGUAUCAGUAAAAUAUUCUCAUAAAAAUCAUUGUGUAUUUUUAUGGUUAUGAGUGUUUUACAACGAUACAAGUUGUUUCACUUUAAAUUUUUUUUUAAUAUUGAAAUUUUUCUAAUUUUAAUAAUUAAAAUUGGAUAAAAUUUUCCCGUCAAAAGGAAUAACCUAAACAAUUUUAAAUGAUUAAUUUUAGCAAAAUUUUCGUAAAAAAGGAAAAUUUUUAUUAAAAUAACUUGAUCUCAAAUCAGAUAAGAGUACCCGCUGAACUUAAGCAUAUCAAUAAGCGGAGGAAAAGAAACUAACAAGGAUUCCCUUAGUAACGGCGAGUGAAGCGGGAAGAGCUCAAAUUUGAAAUCUUCAAGGUUUUACCUUGACGAAUUGUAGUUUAAAGAAGUGUUUUCUGCUGAAGUUUUGGUAAAAGUUCUUUGGAAUAGGACAUCAUAGAGGGUGAGAAUCCCGUAUUUGACCAUUAUUUUCAGCUUUGUGAUACACUUUCAAAGAGUCGGAUUGUUUGGGAAUGCAGUCCAAAAUGGGUGGUAAAUUUCAUCUAAAGCUAAAUAUUGGCGAGAGACCGAUAGCGAACAAGUACCGUGAGGGAAAGAUGAAAAGAACUUUGAAAAGAGAGUUAAACAGUACGUGAAAUUGUCAAAAGGGAAGCGUUUGACACCAGUGUUGUUUUCUCGAAAAUCAAUUAAAAAUGGCUCGAUUUUGUAUUGCUGAGACCUUAAAAGCUCACUGUACAUUUUUCGUGUCUUUUUUAAUGCACUUUUCGUUUAACAAGUCAACAUCAGUUUCUUUUGUUGUAAAAGGGUCAUUGGAAGGUGGCUUUCUUUUCGGAGAAAGUGUUUAUAGCCUUUGGCCUCUGCAAUCGAGAGACUGAGGUCUGCAGCGUAGACCCUUCGGGGUUAGAUACAUUUGUGCUAAGUUAUAGCUUUUUAUAGACAACUUGUUGACUAUAAUUAGUCUUGUAGCUUACUCGCUUAUGCUAUUU